UGCCAGCCGCCGCGGUAAGACGAAGGUGGCAAGCGUUGCUCGGAAUCACUGGGCAUAAAGAGCACGUAGGUGGCGAGAUUAGCGGGGGAUGAAAUCCCAUGGCUCACCCAUGGAACUGUCUCCCGAACUGUCUCGCUUGAGGGUGGGAGGAGGGAGCGGAAUUCCUGGUGUAGCGGUGAAAUGCGUAGAUAUCAGGAGGAACACCGGUGGCGAAAGCGGCUCUCUGGCCCAUUCCUAACACUGAGGUGCGAAAGCUAGGGGAGCAAACAGGAUUAGAUA
rnacentral:rRNA from 1 species